GAGAGACAGUCUGACAGAACAGCAUCUAACGUGGAAGUGUACAUGAAGCAAAGGGAUGACUACAACAGCUGGAAUUGCAAAGAGCUUAGCAAGUUUCCAUCCUCAAAAAAGCAGAACAUGUCCACAACUAACACGGCCAGAGCAAGAUCACAAGACGUGCUGAGACACGGCAACCACCUACAGCUCUGCAUGGAAGCCCCUGCUUGGAUCACACGCAGUUUGCACACCUGGGUCACUUCAGAGAUCUCCCUCUGUCAAAGCGACUCUGAUCACAGAAGUUCAGCCAUAAAAAGAAGCAUCAGAUCAUUCCAAUGACCUCUGUGCUAAAACAAACCUGCUCCUCAGCUGGUCCUGUAAUCCUGAUAACAAUCUUCUCGCUCCCUCCAGGUAAUGGCUUCUAUCCAUUCUCUGGAGCUCUUACUGCACAACUCCAAAUUCCAAGGGUGCUGCUCCAUGAUCUCAGCACUACCGCUGUGCCCCGGUGCUCCUUGCAGCUUUCACCGCGUUCCACACCGGAACACCCAUUCCCACAGAGAACGUCCCUUUAUUGACCAGGCAAUAAUUAAGAUGCGU
rnacentral:lncRNA from 1 species